rnacentral:rRNA from 1 species
UACGUAGGGCGCGAGCGUUGUCCGGAAUUAUUGGGCGUAAAGAGCUUGUAGGCGGUUUGUCGCGUCUGCCGUGAAAAUCCGGGGCUCAACCCCGGACUUGCGGUGGGUACGGGCAGACUAGAGUGUGGUAGGGGAGACUGGAAUUCCUGGUGUAGCGGUGAAAUGCGCAGAUAUCAGGAGGAACACCGAUGGCGAAGGCAGGUCUCUGGGCCACUACUGACGCUGAGAAGCGAAAGCGUGGGGAGCGAACAGG